rnacentral:miRNA from 1 species
AUGCGAAUCACGUGGGAAACUUAUUAAAAUGCAGAUUCUGAUUCAGCGGGUCAAUUGGGCCUCAGAGUCUGUAUUUCUUGCAGAACCCCAGGUAUGCCUAU